GACGAACGCUGGCGGCGUGCUUAACACAUGCAAGUCGAACGGAAAGGCCCUGCUUUUGUGGGGUGCUCGAGUGGCGAACGGGUGAGUAACACGUGAGUAACCUGCCCUUGACUUUGGGAUAACUUCAGGAAACUGGGGCUAAUACCGGAUAGGAGCUCCUGCUGCAUGGUGGGGGUUGGAAAGUUUCGGCGGUUGGGGAUGGACCCGCGGCUUAUCAGCUUGUUGGUGGGGUAGUGGCUUACCAAGGCUUUGACGGGUAGCCGGCCUGAGAGGGUGACCGGCCACAUUGGGACUGAGAUACGGCCCAGACUCCUACGGGAGGCAGCAGUGGGGAAUAUUGCACAAUGGGCGGAAACCUGAUGCAGCAACGCCGCGUGCGGGAUGACGGCCUUCGGGUUGUAAACCGCUUUCGCCUGUGACGAAGCGUGAGUGACGGUAAUGGGUAAAGAAGCACCGGCUAACUACGUG
rnacentral:rRNA from 1 species